rnacentral:lncRNA from 1 species
CCGGGUGUCUCUUUCUCACCGACUGUCCACGCGACACCAGCACUUGCUCACGGCCGAGCCCCGCCACCUGGCGAGGUGGAGCCAGCCACCGCGCAAGCUUCCCGGCUCGCCGCGACUCAGCUCCGAGUGCCGUGUGCCUGGGCUGGAGAUCCCAAGGGGGACUCAUACUGCCCUUAUCCCACGUAAGAGCCGCUCUCCUCCCAGGGCGCGAGGGGCACGACCCGAAGGUAGGAUUUCGCCUUCUUGUCCUGCCACGUGUUCCUAGCACCCAGAUCCGAGAGUCUGGACUUGGGAGGAUGAACUCUGCCUGCGUCAGCCGGAUCCCUGGGUCCCUCCCCAAAGCCCACGGAUCCCCAUUGCCCUGUGCCUCGACCCAGGAUGGGGAGCAGGAGGUCGGCACGUGCCCACAGGGCCCGGCGGAUGGAGCCUGGAGCAUCCCGGAGUGUGGUAUCCGGCCCAGCCUCCCCCACACUCCCGGCCGCGGCGCGCGGAACGUUCAGUCCCCGCAGACCCAGACCGUGCCGACCCGCGGCUCCAGCUUUCCCCUGGUCUGCGGCCCCGGUGCCCGGAAUCCCGGGAUCUCAGCCCGCCACUCGAGAAGCCAGACGACUCCGUGCCUCAGCAAGACCGGAACACAGGGCUUGAGAGAUCACAGUUCUGAGUGGGGAGAGGUGGAGUGUGGAGAGCCUGAGACAGACACAGAAAAGCAAAGUGUGCGGUGAAGGCGAGGGUGUGCUAGAAAGAACCUCGCUGAGUCCGGAACGGGGUUUCUGGCUUGUGAGAAGCCCAGCCCUGUUCCAGGUGACAGUUUGGGGGUCGGUCGUUGUGGUCUAGGCCGCUGUGGGUUCCUGGCAGCUGGCGCCCUUCUUUCCCUUAUUCCUGCCACUCUCCCCAAAACCCCCUUCAGUGUGUCGGUUUGAAAGGUGUACAAUUGGUCCUUCAAGAGGUGGGCGUGGGAUCCAUUAGCAUUUGCCAGGAGUCCCAGAGCGGUGUGAGAUUUGCAUACUGAUUUACAUACAGUAAUAAUGAUUAACAACACUGCCACUCCCUGGCAGACAGAGGAAGAAUUCAGGGAAGGCCCUGGCAUUGCUCCCACCUCCCUCCUCCCUUCCCUCUGGGGAAGAGCUAAUUUUCUCACAACUAUCCACUUCAGCUGCUUUGACCCCUGGGACUGCCCCAGACUCUGGGUGGGCAGGUCCAGGGAGGGGCACUUGCCUUCAGUCCUCCACCGCCACGUCCAACUGGGGAGAGUUAAAACCCAGUAUUGUAUUCCUGCCCGCAUUUGAACUCCUGUACAUCCCACCUUUGUGUUGCUCAGGGGGUGGGUCUGCCCCAAAGCAUACAGGCUUUCUGGAACAGUUAGCUGGGGGCAUCCUAACUCUUCCAGAGCGGUCAACUGAUGGGACCACUGUGCUCUCCUGCACCUUGUAAGUUGUAUUUAAAGACAGGACACUGGGGGCGCCUGGGUGGCGCAGUCGGUUGAGCGUCCGACUUCAGCCAGGUCACGAUCUCGCGGUCCAUGAGUUCGAGCCCCGCGUCAGGCUCUGGGCUGAUGGCUCGGAGCCUGGAGCCUGUUUCCGAUUCUGUGUCUCCCUCUCUCUCUGACCCUCCCCCGUUCAUGCUCUGUCUCUCUCUGUCCCAAAAAUAAAUAAAAAGGUUGAAAAAAAAUUAAAAAAAAAAAAUAAAUAAAGACAGGACACUGAUUCUGACACCUCCCUGCCCCUCCCCCCUUACACACACCUGGCCCUGUUCCGCCCAGGCUUACAUCUCAUCAUUCAAGAGAAGUAGCUGUCCAGAGGAUCUAGACAGAAAUUGGAAAGAUUUGAAUUUCUAGUCUAGGCCAGUAUGUUUUUUAUUUACUGGCCUUUCUCACAACCAGGUGAUCUGGAAAAUAAGAUCAAGAGAUGGGCAGGAAGGAGGCUUCUUGACUCUGGCAGCUGGAGGAGCCACUGCCCAGGAGAUGCUGUCCCUCCCACCGACUGCCACCCUCCGUUGCAUCUUUCCAGAACUGCAUGGCCUCACCUUCCCCCUCUCUGCCUCUGGCCUGGCCUGGCCGGGAUUUUCACUUGCUUUUCCCCCAUGACACGGCCGCUUUUCCUUUAACUCUCAGCUUCUAUUUAAAAAGCUAAUUUGGGAGCUUGUCCAUGCUCCCAAUUCAGACAUUUUAAAUAGGAACUGAAAGUCAGGAGCUGCUGGGGCACUAGAUUUCCUCCCCCUUGCCACCAGCACAGCUCAGGCAUUUGUUCAGUCACUCCGUUGGCUGUGGCCCUAUGUGUCUGUCUGUGUGCGUGCAUGUGUGUGUAUGUGUGUAUGUGAAAGAGAGAGAGAGAGAGAGAGAGCCAGCUAGCAAGAGUGCACUGAGUGUAUUUCAAGCUAUCUUUUCUAUUUAAAGAUGGUGCUCCUAUGGAUGACUGUUCUCUGUGUCUGUGUGUCCUUCCUAAGCUGUGCACACAUGAGGAUUCUUCUUGAGUCCCGUGGUUCCGGCCACUAUUUGCAGAGCUUGUCACUGUGAGGACUGUGACGUUAAACGGCAACCCGGCUCCAAGUCAGCAGCCUCUGUGCUGACACGCCAGGCUGGUGUAUCUGCACAGCUAUUUUCCCAGGGCCGCCCUGCUCAGGCUUGCUCUUUGAAGCUGUGCCUCAGAGUGAUCUUAAGGUCGCCCCCUCCCUCCCCCCGCUGCUUGUGGUUGUCUUACUUCAGUAGUUUGCCCCAUAUUGGCCCAGGAGUUGAGAGAGAGAGAGAGAGAGAGACUGCACCUCCGAUGGUUGCAGGCUUUCCACAUUCAAUGCGCUGUGUACCUUGGAGGUAAAAAGCACAGGCUUUGAGGUCGCACUUCCUGGGUUUGAAACUGCCUCUGUCAUUUCCUAGCUGUGUGACCUUGGGGAAGCUACUUAAUUUCUCUGUGCCUUCAUUUCCUCAUCUGCCAUAAAAUGACAAUAAAUACUACGGUUUUACCUUAAAGGGUCCUUGGGAGGAUUUAAUGAACUCUCAGAUAAAGCACUCAAGAACAGUGCCAGGAACAUAAGAAGCACAGUGUAACUGUUGGCUGCUGUUGUUGUCCAAGGCAGAAGUGGUGCAAACAGGAGGUUUUCCCGGGAAGAAGUCAGAACUGCUGGAUUAUAUACACAGACGUAGGCAAACACAUACCUCCACGCAUGUCACAAGAACAAUGCCAGGCCACAGCCCACAACGGGUCAAGUUCACCUUAUUGAGAUAGUUGACUCCUUACGCCCCAGAAGCGGGGAACUUCUGAUGAAGACAGAGAGGAAGAGCCACAGGGAUGGGAUAAAGAAGGAGCUGGACCAGGUGGAAAGCCCAUGGGACAUUUCGUGGGGGCCAAUUUUAUGCUAGCCAUAUGGACCCAGCCUCCCCUGUUUACCCAACCACGUUAAGCAAGGCUUUAUAGAAGUAGAGAUCUGGUGAAGGACUCAGUGGGGGGUGGCCCCUCAUUCUCCUUUAGUCUCCCCUUGGGCUUGGGGACCUCUCGCUUCGGUCUGGCCAUUGCCUCCCAUCCCUUAUCCCUGUAGCUGGGCAUAUCAGCAUUCAUUCAUUGGCCAUCUGAGUUCAUUUCCCUCAGUCCUUGAGCAUCUAAUCAAGGCACAGAGAGGUUAAGUGGCUUCCUCAAGGUCACAGGUGGGAACUCAUGAGGCCACAAAUAAGAGGAGAACAGUAAAAGACCAAGAAUAGGAAGGCUGUCCAAGGGAUCCAAAGCAACAUUGCAAGUCAUUGAAUUGUAUCAGACUUAAUAUUGGCCUUAAGUAGCAGAGCCACCAUAUGCUGGACUCCUUGCCACGUCUCCUAUAAAUCCUGCACCAUAAGUAUUAUUACCAUUUUAUAGAUGGGAAAACUGAAGGUGGUUGAUGCUAAGGGAUGCAUCCCAGGCUAUACACCUAGAGUGAAGCUCUGAAUCCUCCCUCUUUCCACUCCCCAAGGCUGCUGGUCAUUUGCUCUUCUGAGAAUAGAGAGACCCCCUCAGUCAGAUAAGAUUUGCCCUGAGAGGACAUUCUUGACCUGGCUCUGUUGGCCUCUCAAGUAUCUGGCCUGUGUAGGUUGGGUGUGGGACAGGGUUCAGUGUGUUAAGACUGAGAUUGUAGCCUCAAAAUCAGUGCACCUUGUUCAGGCCCUGAUGGCUGAACUCAAAACCAUCAGACACUUCUGGUACCUUCCUGAGGGAGUGGGGGGAACCCACACUUCCUGCAUCCCUAACCCCACCAGGGAGGCCAAUAGUUGCCUGAGUGGUCAUCUUACUAGUCGAAAUGCCUAGACCAGUUAGGGCAAAUGAGAAGUCAUCAAAAUUCAUGGGCUCCAGUGGAUCUUCCAAAAGUCAGUCUGUCCAAGAGACCCUUGCCAGCCCGAUGCCUGCUCGAACCCAGGCAGAUCCCGGGGAGGCAUAUCCGUGCUGGGGGACUUUCUGCUCAUCAAGACCUCCCUGAAGGCAAGAGGCUAAGUGAAGGAAGAAAAGGAUGGGAAGAAGGAAAGCAAGUCUGAGAAGGGGACAUCGGCACCGGAAAGAAGAGAGACACCCUAAUCAUUUGCUCAUUUUCUUGCUAGAGACAAUUUGGAGAAGGGCUGGGGGAGGCUGAAGGUACAGCUCAUAGAUGUAGUAACUGUUUUAGUCUCCUCUGGUGGCUCCAUUUGCUGGGAAACUAACGUUUCCCAGGGCUCUAUCCUUGUUCUUCCCUACUCCGUCUGCCCUUUUCCCUGGAAAGUUGAUGGGAGCCCCUGGUUUCAAGUUCAUUCAGGUGCUGAUGAUCUUUUCCUGAACUUUCUCCUCCCCCUAAGUAUCUACUGGGCAUCUCCAUCUGUGUACACAGGUACUUCUCCGCUUCACCUUACCAGCCUCCUUCAAUCUUCUGCGAUAGAUCAUUUCCUCGAAAACACCCUCUUCUGAUCAUGACACCCCCCUCACUUCCUUUCUGGCCUUCCCUCCUUCCACUCACACACCUUUCUUUCCAGCACAUAGACCUUUUCUCUGUUACCUGACCCAAGCACGUCCUUUCACUUUUUCAUGCCUUUGUACAUGCUGUUCUGUCCUCUGGAAAUGCCUCCCACCACUUCCUAUUUCCAUCUGUCUUCCUAGCAAGCAUCCACUCAGCCUGAAACCUUCAACACGCAGCCCAAAGGUCACGUAAGACGUACUGGUAAAGUCCACCCUGACCCCCCAGGAGGAACUAGCCAUUCUCUUGGGCUACCGUAGUUGUUCUUCAAAUUAAGUCCUUAUUACCUUGGUUGUUUGCAUGGUGGUCUCAUGCUCUGGCUUUAAGCUGUUUAAAGGCAAAGACCAUGUCUUACUCAUCUCUGAAUAUGUUACCUCAGUGCCUGGCAACUGCAGAGGCUCAAUAAAUUCACAUUAGGAUUAUUUAACUUUCGUUCACCUGGCUCCCUUGAUUGUGUGUAACUGAGAAUAUGUAAUAAAUUUGUCAACUGGUCAGCCUCCGGAUCCUGACUGAUCUUUAGCACUGGCAUGAGGACAGAGAGAAGGGUUCAGGGUGUUCAAUUUUUGGCUGAUCUUAGAUGAAAAGAGCCUCAAAGCCCCCCUCCUCCAGCCUUUUACGAAUCUACAAAGUGAGCCUCAGUCAAUGCUACCUGCAGAGACUUGGCCAGUGUUCUGCUCUUGAACCAGAUUGGUAUUUAGAGAACUCUUUUCUUUCCUUUCUGGCAGAAGGUCAACGCCAUCCCCAGAAUAUCGCCUCCUUGGGAAUAGCCAGGAUUCUGUCAGUUGGAAAUGGUACCUAGUUGCAGCUGUGACUAUGCUUACCCUAAAAACUGGCACGGGGGCUUGUUAAAAUCCCAUUAGCCAAAACCCUGGCUUGGCUCAAGGAGAUGCCAAGACCGAAGCUUGCUGGUGUUUAAUUAGAAAAUUGUAUGGACACCACAUCAGGAAACCGGGGACAGUGGAGACUUAAUGGUGACGACAUGGGCUUGGGAUAGACCUGGCUUCAAAUCUUGACUCUAACAAACUGUGUGACUCUGAGCAAGCCACUUUACUUCUCUGAUCCUCUGUUCCCUCACCUAUAACACGGAUCAUAAUGAUGGUAUCAGCUCAUAGGGUUCAAGAGGAUUGAAUUACAUAAUGUGUGUAACAUAUCUCAUGCAAUUGUAAACAAGGAUGUGGGCUGUUACUAUAAUACUGUAACUGAAUUUGCAGGCGUUUGAAACGUGCUCUUUUAAAUCUUGGGCACAGCUCGCUUCAGUGCUUGUUUGUGAAGAAGAUUAGGUUGGCCACUCAAGUUCUUUCCAUGAGGUUCUGGUUCAUGCUGAGGCCCUGGGAAAUGUGUGAAAUCAGAAAACUUUGUCUCCAGAUACCCUUUUCUAUUAGCUCUUCUCCAUUGUGUGGCACCCCGUUUCUGCAGCCUUGAGCUUCAAGUGCCUGUCUCUCCCCAUUCCCUCCUCAUCAGCAAAAACUGAUAAGAUCAUUUAAACUAAGGUGUAAGUGACUGUCCUGCACAGGGCUACAGUAGUCACUUUUUAACAGGAUAUGAAGGCAAUGAAACAGAGUAGGUGGGGUUUCAGGCAUCCAUGAGAGUAAUAUGGGGGUGGGGGGGAAGUUUUAGGGGACAGGAGGCUCUUCCUAAUGCCACAGAGUCAUUGUCCACUCAUAAUACUGGCCCCAUUAGUGCAGCCAUAAACAAAAAAGUAUUUCUGUAUUCUAUUUCUGCAUUCUGAAGCUAGAAAAUCAAGUCUGCAGCCUUUGCAAAAGUGUCAUAAUAAAGGAAUUUGUGCACCAAGUUUUUAUACUAACCUCUUCUUGGUAAACCGACACAGCUCCUGCAUGCCAAGGUCCCUUCCAGUUCUGCACAUCUAUGAUACUCCCCCUCAAAUGCAUUUUUUCUUCAGAGCUCAAGGGUGGGGUUGGCGUUUUUGCCUCACUGGGUUUGUGGGAGACCCAGCUGCAAAAUCAUUAAUUGCUUUGGUGAGUCAACAAAUAAACAAUGACAGUCAGCUACUAUUCCCAUACUGCAAGGUCAUAAGAAGUUUCUGGACUUCUCUGCAAAACCUUGUUAAAAAAAAAGGAUCCUCACGGCCCUUAAAACUUCUCUAGUAUGGAAAAUUACAAACAUAUGCACAAGAAGAGAGAAUUGUGUAAUAUAUCCCCCCAUGAACAUAUCACUUCACUUUGAUAAUUACCAACUUAAGGUUUAUAAUGUUUUAUCCAUACCCCUGCUUACCAUCGUCCCCGGAUAAUUUUGAAGAAAAUUUCACUUACAGAUGAAAUAUAAUCUCAUCUGUAAAUAUUUCAGUAAUUACACCUUCUUUAUGACCAACAUAGUACA